rnacentral:lncRNA from 1 species
GAUUGGUGAUGGGGUGGACACGGGACCGAAGCUGAGCCAAUCAAAGUCCUUCCCUUUGAAACAGGACUGGAUAGAGGAAAACUUACUGGCAUCAUCACAAAACGGAAAGACGGCAGUAGGAUGGGCGUGUACAUUGCAAGGCCCUGGAGUGCAGUGUGGCUCAGAUCUGGUCCCCAGGCUGCCUGGCUGCGUGUGCUCGUGCAGGCAUAGAAUUACGUCACGGGUACUCCACAGACCAAGGACGACAACAGGUUAAGGAGAGAGUUGACGAGAAGGAAGAAGGGAAGGAGAGUAACGUUGACAGGUAAAGUGAAGAAACCUGGCAACCCGACUUCAGCCGGCUGGUGGAGGUCGACACCAGCAGUGAUGCGUGGUGGUGAUGGUGUGGACCCUGAUGUGACGUGAUGGGAAGGGUGCGUCACCUCAGUGCCCUUCCUCCCCGAAACCCAGAAUCCCAGCCUAUUUGUGAGAAUAGCGCGAGAUAAGUCCCAAGCGAGGGACGUCCUACAGAAUACAUGAUCAGUGCUCCUCAAACCUGCCAAGGUCAUCAAAAUCAAAGAACGUCUGAGAAACUGUCACAGCCAGGAGGAGCCUAGGGACGCAGGAUGACUAAAUGUCAUGUAGUGUCCUGAGUGGGAUCCCGGACCAGAAAAAGGACAUUAGGGAAAAAACUAAGCAAAUUUGUAUAAAGUACAGACUUCAGGUAAUAAUGAUGAAUCAAUAGUGGUUUAUUAAUUAUAACAAAUAUAUGAUACUAAUAUGUUAAUAGGGG